rnacentral:rRNA from 1 species
GCCAGAGACAUAUUUCCCUGCAGUUCUUGCCUGGUUUCCCACUGAAGCUAAGCAGGGUUGAGCCUGGCUAGUACCAGGACAGGAGACCUUCUGGGGAAACUAAGGUUGCUGCUGGAA